AAGAGCUCAAAUUUAUAAUUUGGCACCUUCGGUGUCCGAGUUGUAAUCUCUAGAAAUGUUUUCCGCGUUGGGCCGCACCCAAGUCUGUUGGAAUACAGCGGCAUAGUGGUGAGACCCCCGUAUAUGGUGCGGACGCCCAGCGCUUUGUGAUACAUUUUCGAAGAGUCGAGUUGUUUGGGAAUGCAGCUCAAAUUGGGUGGUAAAUUCCAUUUAAAGCUAAAUAUUGGCGAGAGGCCGAUAGCG
rnacentral:rRNA from 1 species